CUUCUUCCGCAGCCCGGGUUAAUAAAGUUCAUCACUAGAGGAUCACGUGCGCAACAGUGGCAGAAAAGUCUGCUUUACAGGUUCUUUGAUCAUCUGGGUUCAAGUUCAAUGCGACGGUGUCUGGGGAUGCUUUCUUGCCUUCCACAUUGACCAGUGCAGUAGGAGGCUGACUGGUAUUAUCUUGCACUUUGACUUCUGUAUCCACUUUCCCUGAGAACAGUUAUAAAGAAAGCAGCUCUGUAUCCUUGGCAACUAUUUCUUUGGAGACCUGAGUGAUGUAAGCAUCCCAGCCAGAUCGGGUUGUUUCCAGCUGUGUUCUGAGCCUUUGGCAUAUAAUAGAGAUUCAAAUUGAAUAUGUAUCUAGUUACAGCUGCGGUACAGAACAACACUGAACAGUGUGUCUCUAAUUGGAGCAUGUCAAGUAUGUACAUUGAUCAUCCUGUCCAGUUGAGCCUGUAGUUCUGAUGUCCUGCCCUUUUCUUCCUGGAAAUCCCUGACGUGAGUCUCUCUCAUGAGAUUCAGGGCAUCUUUACUCUCUCGAGACCUCCGUUCCAGCUCUGCAUGCC